rnacentral:rRNA from 1 species
GAUGAACGCUGGCGGCGUGCCUAAUACAUGCAAGUCGAGCGAACGGACGAGAAGCUUGCUUCUCUGAUGUUAGCGGCGGACGGGUGAGUAACACGUGGAUAACCUACCUAUAAGACUGGGAUAACUUCGGGAAACCGGAGCUAAUACCGGAUGAUAUUUUGAACCGCAUGGUUCAAAAGUGAAAGACGGUCUUGCUGUCACUUAUAGAUGGAUCCGCGCUGCAUUAGCUAGUUGGUAAGGUAACGGCUUACCAAGGCAACGAUGCAUAGCCGACCUGAGAGGGUGAUCGGCCACACUGGAACUGAGACACGGUCCAGACUCCUACGGGAGGCAGCAGUAGGGAAUCUUCCGCAAUGGGCGAAAGCCUGACGGAGCAACGCCGCGUGAGUGAUGAAGGUCUUCGGAACGUAAAACUCUGUUAUUAGGGAAGAACAUAUGUGUAAGUAACUGUGCACAUCUUGACGGUACCUAAUCAGAAAGCCACGGCUAACUACGUG